rnacentral:rRNA from 1 species
AGGGGCUUAACACAUGCAAGUCGAGGGGCAGCAUUUUCGUUUGCUUGCAAACUGAAGAUGGCGACCGGCGCACGGGUGAGUAACACGUAUCCAACCUGCCGAUAACUCCGGGAUAGCCUUUCGAAAGAAAGAUUAAUACCGGAUAGCAUACGAAUAUCGCAUGAUAUUUUUAUUAAAGAAUUUCGGUUAUCGAUGGGGAUGCGUUCCAUUAGUUUGUUGGCGGGGUAACGGCCCACCAAGACUACGAUGGAUAGGGGUUCUGAGAGGAAGGUCCCCCACAUUGGAACUGAGACACGGUCCAAACUCCUACGGGAGGCAGCAGUGAGGAAUAUUGGUCAAUGGGCGCGAGCCUGAACCAGCCAAGUAGCGUGAAGGAUGAAGGCUCUAUGGGUCGUAAACUUCUUUUAUAUGGGAAUAAAGUUUUCCACGUGUGGAAUUUUGUAUGUACCAUAUGAAUAAGGAUCGGCUAACUCCGUGCCAGCAGCCGCGGUAAUACGGAGGAUCCGAGCGUUAUCCGGAUUUAUUGGGUUUAAAGGGAGCGUAGGUGGAUUGUUAAGUCAGUUGUGAAAGUUUGCGGCUCAACCGUAAAAUUGCAGUUGAAACUGGCAGUCUUGAGUACAGUAGAGGUGGGCGGAAUUCGUGGUGUAGCGGUGAAAUGCUUAGAUAUCACGAAGAACUCCGAUUGCGAAGGCAGCUCACUAGACUGUCACUGACACUGAUGCUCGAAAGUGUGGGUAUCAAACAGGAUUAGAUACCCUGGUAGUCCACACAGUAAACGAUGAAUACUCGCUGUUUGCGAUAUACAGUAAGCGGCCAAGCGAAAGCAUUAAGUAUUCCACCUGGGGAGUACGCCGGCAACGGUGAAACUCAAAGGAAUUGACGGGGGCCCGCACAAGCGGAGGAACAUGUGGUUUAAUUCGAUGAUACGCGAGGAACCUUACCCGGGCUUAAAUUGCAACAGAAUAUAUUGGAAACAGUAUAGCCGUAAGGCUGUUGUGAAGGUGCUGCAUGGUUGUCGUCAGCUCGUGCCGUGAGGUGUCGGCUUAAGUGCCAUAACGAGCGCAACCCUUAUCUUUAGUUACUAACAGGUCAUGCUGAGGACUCUAGAGAGACUGCCGUCGUAAGAUGUGAGGAAGGUGGGGAUGACGUCAAAUCAGCACGGCCCUUACGUCCGGGGCUACACACGUGUUACAAUGGGGGGUACAGAAGGCGGCUACCUGGUGACAGGAUGCCAAUCCCAAAAACCUCUCUCAGUUCGGAUCGAAGUCUGCAACCCGACUUCGUGAAGCUGGAUUCGCUAGUAAUCGCGCAUCAGCCAUGGCGCGGUGAAUACGUUCCCGGGCCUUGUACACACCGCCCGUCAAGCCAUGAAAGCCGGGGGUACCUGAAGUACGUAACCGAAAGGAGCGUCCUAGGGUAAAACUGGUAA